CAACAGCAGUUUUUUGUAUAACGUCGGUGAUGCAGAGCAUGUGUCCAAGGAAACUGUCUGUCGGGCUGUCCGAAAUGUGACACUUGCACUGAAACGGCUACUAUGCACGUUUGUAGUGUUCCCAAGUAACAGACCCACCAGACUUCUCAAAGAAGAGUUCCACAGAAUUGGUUUCCAGGUGUGAUUGGCUGCAUAGAUGGCACUCACAUUCCUAUCAUAGCCCCUUCAAUAAAUGAAGGAGAUUAUGUGAAUAGGAAAUCUGUCCACAGCAUUAAUGUACAGAUCAUAUGUGACGCAGCCCAUAUGGUAAAUAAUGUGGAAGCGAAGUGGCCUGGGUCUGUGUAUGACUCACGAAUGUUUCGUGAGUCUACACUGAGUGCCAGAUUUGCCCGUGGUGAGUUUAUAUAUAUAUAGUUUAUAUAUCCAGUAUAUAGUUAUAUCCUAUGAUCAAUAUUUUGUUUCCUCCUAUUACAACUGAAACAAUAAA
ensembl:lncRNA